GACGAAGGGGGGCUAGCGUUGUUCGGAAUUACUGGGCGUAAAGCGCGUGUAGGCGGUUGUUCAAGUCAGGUGUGAAAGCCUUGAGCUCAACUCAAGAAAUGCACUUGAUACUGGAUGACUAGAGGACCGGAGAGGAUAGUGGAAUUCCCAGUGUAGUGGUGAAAUACGUAGAGAUUGGGAAGAACACCAGUGGCGAAGGCGGCUAUCUGGACGGUAACUGACGCUGAGACGCGAAAGCGUGGGGAGCAAACAGG
rnacentral:rRNA from 1 species